AGCUCUCAUACUGCAUUGAAUUGCUGUUGCGGUUAAAAAGUUCGUAGUUGCAAGUGUACGAUGUGGAGUGGUUCGUCUUUUUGGCGAUACUACAACUGUCGUUAAAGGAUUAUAUGGUUAAUAGCUGUAUAUCCUAGUUACUUUGAGUAAAUCAGAGUGCUUAGAACAAGCGUAUCGCUUGAAUGGUUGUGCAUGGAAUAACAAUACAAUGCAUUGGUAUUUGUUUUGUUGGUUUUAAUAUCAAUGAAUGAUUAAAAGGAACAAACGGGGGCAAAAGUAUCAUAAGGCGAGAGGUGAAAUUCGUGGACCCUUGUGAGACUGCCUAAAGCGAAAGCAUUUGCCAAGAAUGUUUUCA
rnacentral:rRNA from 1 species